rnacentral:lncRNA from 1 species
UUCCAACAUCAAACUUGAUGAAGUCAACAAUCUUAUUGGAUUCCAAGUCCAGCUUGAUGGUAUCAUUGGCCUUGAUGAGAGGAUCAGGGUAGCGAAUUGUUCUACCAUCAUAAGUAUUAAGAUAAGGAAUCCCCUUACUACCAAACUGAAUGGAUCGGACCUUGCAAAGCUUAAACUGUCCAAAUAAAGAUCCUCAAGAUAAGUCCAGAGUAUGUCACUCAAAAGUAAUUACAAAACAGAAUGAGACACACACUUACACUAUUAAUGUCAAACAACAAGAUCUUGUAUUUCAUAGCAUAAUAGCAGAUAACAAUAUAUGGAAA